CAUGGCUCAGGAUGAACGCUAGCUACAGGCUUAACACAUGCAAGUCGAGGGGAAACGAUGAGAGAGCUUGCUCUCUUAGGCGUCGACCGGCGCACGGGUGAGUAACGCGUAUCCAACCUACCCAUUACAGGGGAAUAACCUUGCGAAAGUAAGACUAAUGCCCCAUGGUAUUCUCAGCAGACAUCUAAUGAGGAUUAAAGAUUUAUCGGUAAUGGAUGGGGAUGCGUCUGAUUAGCUUGUUGGCGGGGUAACGGCCCACCAAGGCAACGAUCAGUAGGGGUUCUGAGAGGAAGGUCCCCCACAUUGGAACUGAGACACGGUCCAAACUCCUACGG
rnacentral:rRNA from 1 species